rnacentral:rRNA from 1 species
UACAGAGGGUGCAAGCGUUAAUCGGAAUUACUGGGCGUAAAGCGUGCGCAGGCGGUUAUAUAAGACAGAUGUGAAAUCCCCGGGCUCAACCUGGGACCUGCAUUUGUGACUGUAUAGCUAGAGUACGGUAGAGGGGGAUGGAAUUCCGCGUGUAGCAGUGAAAUGCGUAGAUAUGCGGAGGAACACCGAUGGCGAAGGCAAUCCCCUGGACCUGUACUGACGCUCAUGCACGAAAGCGUGGGGAGCAAACAGG